rnacentral:rRNA from 1 species
UACGUAGGGCGCAAGCGUUAUCCGGAAUUAUUGGGCGUAAAGAGCUCGUAGGCGGUUUGUCGCGUCUGCCGUGAAAGUCCGGGGCUCAACUCCGGAUCUGCGGUGGGUACGGGCAGACUAGAGUGAUGUAGGGGAGACUGGAAUUCCUGGUGUAGCGGUGAAAUGCGCAGAUAUCAGGAGGAACACCGAUAGCGAAGGCAGCUCGCUGGGCCGGUACUGACGCUGAGGAGCGAAAGCGUGGGGAGCAAACAGG